GGAUCCUUAGCUCAGCUGGUUCAGAGCGCUACCCUGACACGGUAGAGGUCAAUGGUUCGAACCCAUUAGGGUCCACAA
rnacentral:tRNA from 1 species